rnacentral:ribozyme from 1 species
UCAAGGUUUCUUUGGAUGGUAACGAUAAGAACACUUUCGAAGACAAGACCGAAGCUUUGACCAAGGUUUACAGAGCCUUGACCACCAAGGAAGUU